AGAGUUUGAUCAUGGCUCAGGACGAACGCUGGCGGCGUGCCUAAUACAUGCAAGUCGAGCGAACCUGCAGGAGCUUGCUCCUGUUGGUUAGCGGCGGACGGGUGAGUAACACGUGGGCAACCUGCCUGUAAGACUGGGAUAACACCGGGAAACCGGUGCUAAUACCGGAUAAUCCUUUUCCUCUCAUGAGGAAAAGCUGAAAGUCGGUUUCGGCUGACACUUACAGAUGGGCCCGCGGCGCAUUAGCUAGUUGGUGAGGUAACGGCUCACCAAGGCGACGAUGCGUAGCCGACCUGAGAGGGUGAUCGGCCACACUGGGACUGAGACACGGCCCAGACUCCUACGGGAGGCAGCAGUAGGGAAUCUUCCACAAUGGACGAAAGUCUGAUGGAGCAACGCCGCGUGAGCGAUGAAGGCCUUCGGGUCGUAAAGCUCUGUUGUUAGGGAAGAACAAGUACCGGAGUAACUGCCGGUACCUUGACGGUACCUAACCAGAAAGCCACGGCUAACUACGUGCCAGCAGCCGCGGUAAUACGUAGGUGGCAAGCGUUGUCCGGAAUUAUUGGGCGUAAAGCGCGCGCAGGCGGUCCUUUAAGUCUGAUGUGAAAGCCCACGGCUCAACCGUGGAGGGUCAUUGGAAACUGGGGGACUUGAGUGCAGAAGAGGAAAGCGGAAUUCCACGUGUAGCGGUGAAAUGCGUAGAGAUGUGGAGGAACACCAGUGGCGAAGGCGGCUUUCUGGUCUGUAACUGACGCUGAGGCGCGAAAGCGUGGGGAGCAAACAGGAUUAGAUACCCUAGUAGUCC
rnacentral:rRNA from 1 species